rnacentral:rRNA from 1 species
UACGUAGGCAGCAAGCGUUGUUCGGAGUUACUGGGCGUAAAGGGUGUGUAGGCGGUUCUUUAAGUUUGGUGUGAAAUCUCCCGGCUCAACUGGGAGGGUGCGCCGAAUACUGAGGGACUAGAGUACGGGAGAGGAAAGUGGAAUUCCUGGUGUAGCGGUGAAAUGCGUAGAGAUCGUAAGGAAGACCAGUGGCGAAGGCGGGUCUCUGGACAGUUCCUGACACUGAGGCACGAAGGCCAGGGGAGCAAACGGG